UGCAUUAGCUAGUUGGUAAGGUAACGGCUUACCAAGGCAAUGAUGCAUAGCCGAGUUGAGAGACUGAUCGGCCACAUUGGGACUGAGACACGGCCCAAACUCCUACGGGAGGCAGCAGUAGGGAAUCUUCCACAAUGGACGAAAGUCUGAUGGAGCAACGCCGCGUGAGUGAAGAAGGGUUUCGGCUCGUAAAGCUCUGUUGGUAGUGAAGAAAGAUAGAGGUAGUAACUGGCCUUUAUUUGACGGUAAUUACUUAGAAAGUCACGGCUAACUACGUGCCAGCAGCCGCGGUAAUACGUAGGUGGCAAGCGUUGUCCGGAUUUAUUGGGCGUAAAGCGAGUGCAGGCGGUUCAAUAAGUCUGAUGUGAAAGCCUUCGGCUCAACCGGAGAAUUGCAUCAGAAACUGUUGAACUUGAGUGCAGAAGAGGAGAGUGGAACUCCAUGUGUAGCGGUGGAAUGCGUAGAUAUAUGGAAGAACACCAGUGGCGAAGGCGGCUCUCUGGUCUGCAACUGACGCUGAGGCUCGAAAGCAUGGGUAGCGAACAGGAUUAGAUACCCUGGUAGUCCAUGCCGUAAACGAUGAGUGCUAAGUGUUGGGAGGUUUCCGCCUCUCAGUGCU
rnacentral:rRNA from 1 species